rnacentral:lncRNA from 1 species
UUCCUUCAACAUUGGGAGAAUACGUUUUUAUAAAAAGAGCAUUCCGAAAAUGGCCUAAAUUCGUCCGUGUGGUGGGUGUGGGGCUCUCGCUUAGGCGCUUAGUCCGAGAGAAGGGGGGACGAGAUGAAGAGAGACUAACCAUUACACAAGUUGGUGGCCUAGCGGGGUACCUGCAAGCAGAGUGAGUGAGUACUGCUUCCUUGGAGGAGGGUUGAGCGUUGGUCCACAGAAGCGCAAGCUGUCAUGUGCCAGGGCGAGGAUGGCACUAGCUCGAGCUGACUAUUCAGAAUUUGUGAAGUGCCCGUCAUGGGCGCCCCCAACACCUAAGCCUAGUUGUGUAGCAUGUACGACAAAUCCUGCUAAAACACGCUUAGCGUGCCACCACUCACUCACGCCAGAUAUAAACCGCUUUGCUUGUAAAAUUCACGAGUGCGCCUGCAGACUUUGUGACUACAGAGCUGUUGCGGAUGAAGUGCAUGUCUUUUGCGAACACCCGGC